AGUGAACGCUGGCGGUAGGCCUAACACAUGCAAGUCGAACGGCAGCACAGUAAGAGCUUGCUCUUACGGGUGGCGAGUGGCGGAUGGGUGAGGCAUACAUCGGAAUCUACUUUUUCGUGGGGGACAACGUAGGGAAACUUACGCUAAUACCGCAUACGACCUACGGGUGAAAGCAGGGGAUCUUCGCACCUUGCGCGACUGAAUGAGCCGAUGUCGGAUUAGCUAGUUGGCGGGGUAAAGGCCCACCAAGGCGACGAUCCGUAGCUGGUCUGAGAGGAUGAUCAGCCACACUGGAACUGAGACACGGUCCAGACUCCUACGGGAGGCAGCAGUGGGGAAUAUUGGACAAUGGGCGCAAGCCUGAUCCAGCCAUACCGCGUGAGUGAAGAAGGCCUUCGGGUUGUAAAGCCCUUUUGUUGGGAAAGAAAAGCAGCAGGUUAAUACCCCGCUGUUCUGACGGUACCCAAAGAAUAAGCACCGGCUAACUUCGUG
rnacentral:rRNA from 1 species